rnacentral:rRNA from 1 species
GACUAACGAUGCCGGCGCGCUUAACACAUGCAAGUCGAACGGAAAGGCCCUGCUUUUGUGGGUUGCUCGAGUGGCGAACGGGUGAGUAACACGUGAGUAACCUGCCCUUGACUUUGGGAUAACUUCACUAAACCGGGGCUAAUACCGGAUGGGUGCUCCUCCGGCAUGGCGGGGGUUGGAAAGUUUCGGCGGUUGGGGAUGGACUCGCGGCUUAUCAGCUUGUUGGUGGGGGAGUGGCGUACCAAGGCUUUGACGGGUAGCCGGCCUGAGAGGGUGGCCGGCCACAUGGGGACUGAGAUACGGCCCAGCCUCCUACGGGAGGCAGCAGGGGGGAAUAUUGCCCAAUGGGCGGAAGCCUGGUGCAGCAACGCCGCGGGCGGGAUGACGGCCUUCGGGUUGUAAACCGCUUUCGCCUGUGACGAAGCGUGAGUGACGGUAAUGGGUAAAGAAGCACCGGCUAACUACGUG